UACAUACUUGGUUGUUUUGUCCUAUCUGUUUCACUUAUACUGAACACAUGUGGUAGGCGAAUGCCAAAGGUGUCAGCAAAAACAAUGAUUUUCCACUGAGUACCACCAUAUGUCUACUUCCGCAGAAAACCGCCUGCUGUCCCAGGAGCAUCAACGUGGCUGCUACACGAUGGCCGAGGGACACAUCCAACAGAAGAAACCUUCACCACAGGUGCAGGUUUCUCCUGUAGGGUGUGGAUCUCUUCCUCCACAAGUGGAGGUUUCUCCUAGGACAGCAGAGCACGUGUCACCUGCUGCACCCACACCUGAGCCAUCAUCGCCCACCAGGCCACAGUCCGCUGCAGAGGCCGAACUUCUCAUAAGCUUGGAGGAUUCCGCUGGAAUUUUCAAAGAUAUUUUCAGUCGUUGGAAAUGAGGUGUUCCUGGGUAGUGGCGUGUGGCUGCAGAAAUCCGUGUACGAACAUUUGAUGCAGCGCCCGAAAGAUGGCAUUUUUGUUCGUGAGGCCAGCGUUCGAAUAUUUUCGACUGCAGGCCUCUUUAACAGAAGUGUCACGGGCGCUGCAUCAAAUAGAACUAAAGCGGAAGCCAAGCCACCCUUGGAUGCUACGAAAUAUGAAGUUCUAAAAGCAUUUUUCAGGCACUACCUGGAGAGCCGAUGCAGCAGCCCCGCAGAAAUUGCCACAAGGCAUAGUUGCCUUGGCAAAAUAGUAGCCUGCAAAAUAGCUGACAUCAUGAAGGGCCAGAGGAAGAAUAUGUAGUUUUGUUUUGAGAAUAUAUUUGUGUACAUGUGCCUCAAUCAUUAUCUGUGCUUAUCAUUCUAGGGGUGUUGCCACAUUGUGGGCCCUCUUCUGUGAAGAUAAACAGCCACGGUACACUUAUACAAGACUAAUUACAAUAGGCAGAUACAUGACCAAUAGGUCUCAAUGAUCCAAUAGGCAAAUACAGAACCAAUAGGUCAAUAUAGUUCCAAUAGGCAAAUACAGAA